rnacentral:tRNA from 1 species
AUGAAGAGUAGCAUAUAAAGUGUAUCUUGUUUACACCAAGAAGGAGAAUUUAAUCCUCUUUAUU